GGGCUUCGGCCUCCUGCUGCGCAAGAAGCAAUCAGUAGUCGCACACGACUUCCUUUGAGCGUGCAAGCCAGUCAAGGCCGUCCAACCGCAGUUUGGAUUUACAUUUACACUGCUCCAUCUUCAACACGCCUCCCACAUAUCGGCAACACUGCUACUCUGCACUCAGGUUUACGGUCAGGCCCAGCUUUGCGUUUAAUAGCAAACCGCUCGUACGACACGCCCGCUUUUAGAAUCUAUUCCACCCGAGCGGGCCCGCCGAAAUCCUUUCGUUGUAAAUAACUGCGAUCGCCGGAAGAACUCGUUGUGCGCAAUGUUUGCCUCCUCCCCACCCUCGGCUUGUCUGUCGAAUUUGCCCAAAGACGAAAGCGAAAGAAAAGGACAAGGUGCAACCACCGGAGUUAAAAAUAAAUAGCGGCGGUGCCCAUGGGAGGAAGGUUGCCCGAGAGCUCGAGAGUGCGCUUCAAGAGGCCAAAACUAAUGGCCCCGCAGGUCACGGCUCGUGUUUGUGUUUGCAGGGGAAGUUGAAAAUGUCAAACAUUUUUUCUUAAAGGGAUACUCCAAAUAAAUAGACUCAUAGCGUUAUUAUCUUUCAGAGGAAGGAAGAAACAAAGUACUUUUACUUAAGUAGAUUUUUCCAGGUAUCUGUCCUUGAUUUGAGUAUUUAUUUUUCUGGCAAUUCUUUUUUUACUUUCACUCCUUACUUUUUCGACACAGAUAUAUGUACUUUCUACUCCCGACGUUUCAAAAGUGAUCUUGUUACUUUUAAAACGUAAAAGUUAGCGACAAAAACCGGAAGUAAGCAAGUCGAUGUGCACAUAGACAACGUAGGUGUAUUUACUUUUGCCAUAUGUGAGGCUAGCGUAGUGGGGGCAAAGGUAUCGGUGCAUUCCAUGUAUAUAAGCUAGUGGGGGCAAAUUGUCAGCUGUGUAGUUUUAAAUUGUCCUAAAAAAAAAAAAAAAAAAAUAACAAGGAUGUCUGUACAUCGUGUUGUGAACUUUUGCACAGACGUCGUACAAUCUCAACAAAGGAACCCCGAACUGGGAAAAAACUUUCAGGCUUCAAGCAAGCGACUUGAAAGCGUGUAUGGAGCAUCGUCAUCGGUGUUGUCAGACGAGUGUGACUUAACGUCGAACCGAAGCCUUGUCAGGUGGCCGCUCUGCCUCACAAGUCGUCGUCUGAAGCUUCAUUCGGGCUGCGUUGCCUCCUCCUCCUCAAAGGAGAGGUGAAGGCUGCCAUCCAGUGGGCGCGACUGGCGCGUCACGGCUUGGUCUCCUGGCAGCCGUUUUGUGAACACAGUGGACUAGUGGUUUGCACGAGCGCCCGCAAAGGCCGCACCCUCUGUCGUUAUGAUGACAACAGAAGAUCUCCCUACUGGCCCAGAAGUAGACGGGACGGGAUAAGGUCCGGUUUACUUGCACAAGCUAACGUGCAUGUUUUUGGAAUGUGGGAGGAGGUCUGAGUACCCGGAGAAAACCCCAACAAGCACGAGAACACGCAAACAUCACACGGGAUGCAAAACCAGAACCUCCGAACUGUGAGUGCUCAAACGGGCUCGCUUGUAUCAAGGAGGCAAGGUUGGGCUCUACGUGGCAGAAUGUGUCCAAGAGUGCGCUUGGAGUUGCGCAAGGCUGGGCUGCCGCACCCAGAAAAUGCUUUCACACAACCGGCAACAUUCCUCCUCCCAGGGAAGAAGAAGAAGACAGUCACACUCGUACGGUAGAACCUUUUAUUAUUUUAGAACCGCACACAAUCCAGGUGUUCAAGCUAACAUUCAGCCUGCGGGAGUCAAAUGUUGAAGAAGCGGCACACUCAACUCGAGAUGUUCAGAGACGGAUUUCCCCGUCGUCCGGUUCGUCACCCCCGACUUCUUUUACGGCCUUGUCAGUCGAACGUCGGGCGGCGAGCCGACGCCCUUGCGCCGACUUCCACGCGGUCCGGAGAACGUUGCCAUAACCGCCGACGGCUGCCGCGGACACGCCCGCUCGACGUUCGAACGAUAGUUAGUCCAACGAUAAGAAUCAUUUCAAGUAGGGAUGAUAUCGGACUUGAUUGAUCAUUCAUCAAUUGCUAUUUAUUUUCCAAUAUUGUCUGACCGCAACGAGGGGGGAACGGACGGACUCCUGCUUCCGUAUUCACAUUGUGUGUCACGUUGCAGCCAUCUUGAGACAAAACUUUGCACCCAAACGGGAUUGGUUGGCGAU